AGUUCUUUCGGAGAUAUCCGAUAAAAUUGGAACGAUACAGAGAAGAUUAGCAUGGUCCCUGCGCAAGGAUGACACGCACAAAUUGAGAAAUGAUCUAAAUUUUU